AUCAAAAUGCAAAGGAGCAAAGAUUUAAAAAAGUUUUAUCCUAUAAUAUCUGUAAUAUUUAUUGUUUUUUGCAUUAUACCAACAACACCAGGGUGUCAUUAUGUAAGAGUUAUCAUGCAAAAUGGAUCAUCAUUACCAGAAAUACAUCAUCCCAUUUUUACAAGAAGUGAAUAUCAGAAAUUGCUAAAAAAAACUACCAAAAGAUGUCCCUGUGUCUAUUCCGAUUUGACUGGAAAAAAUAGAGCCUGGAUAGGAUUAGUACAAAAUGAAGAUACAGCAACUGCUGGUGAUACGAAAUCAUGCUCAGCCUCCAUCAUAAGUCCAACGUUUCUGAUCACAUCUGCAAGCUGUAUGUGCAAUCUUAUGAAGGGAUUUUGUCCUUUAAAAAGUACUGAUGGACCCAUGGGAAAUUUUUAUUCAAAAGACCCAACUAAACUCUCAGUAAUAAUACCAACGUAUUCUGAAGACAAAAAGUUGACAAUAGAAAAACUUUACAUCCAUAAGAAUUUUAAAACGUCCAAUUUUCAAGAUGAUGUUGGACUCUUAAAAUUAAAAAAAAGAUGACGACUUUUCCAAAGAUUCCAACCAUAAAUCGAUUUGCUUUCCAACACCGGAUAUGUUUAAAGCAAAAAAAGUUGUGUCUGCCAACUGUAAAAUCAAGACUGGGAAACUGGACUGUGAAAGGGAUGAUCUGAACUAUCAUUAUACUGGAAUCCAAAGGGUUCCACUUGAGAAAACAUGUGCAACCAAUGGACUUGGUAUGAAACCAUUUGCAGCAUGUCUUUUCGAUAAAGGAAGUGAAAAAUGCCAGGAUGGUGACCCUAUGAAAAAAAAUCAAAAAAGUAAACUCAACAUGUGAUAUCAAUAAAAAUAGUGUGAAGGAUGCUAAUACAAUCAAGGACAAAUUUAUUGUGAAUUAUGAUGAUGGUGCCGUUUGCCCAGAUCCCAAAUUUGACAUUAAGAAAAAGUAUGAAAAAUAUCCGGAUGUUCAAAGUCUUGAUAAAUGGUGUUAUACAUGUUCAUCCGGGCUUCCAAACAAUUGUGAGGAUUGGGGCUACUGUUCACGCAAUUGUGAGUUUUUAUCUGAAUUGAAUACUCCCAAAUAUCCCAUUGUAGAAGGGAUAGCGAAUACAGUACAGAAUAAAGAUAAUUGUGGUGAAAAAAAAAAUAUUUGUGUAAUGGAUAUUUUAUUUGAAGGAAAUUCGAUUACCAUGAAGGAAGAUGACAAUCAUAAAUACGUAGAAGACAGUAGUACAUCUUUUGGACAAAUGAAGAUCUUUGAAGACAUCAAGAAAAAUAUGAAAUCAUACUCAAAUCAUAACUGCAAGGAUCUCAGUGGAGGUGCUGUUUGGACCAUCCUAUCUGUUGGACGAGGGAAAAAUACAAAGCACCAUUUUUGACGGGAUUGUUGGGAAAUAUUACAUCAGAAUGUAAUGGAAAGGACGGUAGCUUACAGGACAUUAAAAAUGUGGAUAUCGAGUCUUAUGCCAAAGACGUGAUUGACGUUGUAAAUGAUCUUUGCACACUAUCCCUCAAGAAGAAGAAAAAAAAGAAAUUGUAAUGAUAUUUCUAUGUACUAAUUAAUUGAUGUAUGACCUAUUGAAAUAUAAAAUUAACUUUUAAAUUUA
rnacentral:lncRNA from 1 species